rnacentral:rRNA from 1 species
UACGUAGGGGGCAAGCGUUGUCCGGAUUUAUUGGGCGUAAAGAGCGUGUAGGCGGCUUGGUAGGUCCGCUGUGAAAACUCGAGGCUCAACCUCGAGAUGUCGGCGGAAACCACUUGGACUAGGAGUCCGGAAGAGGAGAGUAGGAAUUCCUGGAUGUGAGCGGUGGAAAUGCGCAGAUAUCAGGAAGAACACCUAUGGCGAAGGCAGCUCUCUGGGACGGUACUGACGCUGAGACGCGAAAGCGUGGGGGGCGAACAGG